rnacentral:hammerhead_ribozyme from 1 species
GCAUUGCUGAAGAGUUCCAAACUAGGACGAAACAAAUGUCCAGUAC